rnacentral:rRNA from 1 species
UCAUAUGCUUGUCUCAAAGGCUAAGCCAUGCACGUGUAAGCACAGGCCUCCACACGGUGAAGCUGCGAAUGGCUCAUUAGAUCGGCUACAAUUUAUUAGAUCAUACACGGUUACUUGGAUAACUGUGGUAAUUCUAGAGCUAAUACAUGCAACGAGUGCCCCGACCUGCCUGGCAGGGAGGGGCGAGUUUAUUAGAUCAAAACCAACCGGCCCGCGAGGGCCGAGCCCGUUGGUGACUCAGGAUAACUUUGGUCUGAUCGCACGGCCCUGGCGCCGGCGACGUAUCUUUCAAGUGUCCGCCCUAUCAAGUUCCGUAUGUAGGUGCCCUGCCUACAUAGCUGGCGACGGGUGACGGGGAAUCAGGGUUCGAUUCCGGAGAGGGAGCCUGAGANACGGCUACCACAUCCAAGGAAGGCAGCAGGCAUGCAAAUUACCCACUCCUGNCACGGGGAGGUAGUGA